AAAAUGACUCUCGGCAACGGAUAUCUCGGCUCUUGCAUCGAUGAAGAACGUAGCAAAAUGCGAUACUUGGUGUGAAUUGCAGAAUCCCGUGAACCAUCGAGUCUUUGAACGCAAGUUGCGCCCGAAGCCAUUAGGUUGAGGGCACGCCUGCCUGGGUGUCACAY
rnacentral:rRNA from 1 species